UACGUAGGGGGGCAAGCGUUUGUCCGGAUUUAUUGGGCGUAAAGAGCGUGUAGGCGGUUAGGUAGGUCCGUUGUGAAAACUCGAGGCUCAACCUCGAGACGCCGAUGGAAACCAUCUAACUAGAGUCCGGAAGAGGAGAGUGGAAUUCCUGGUGUAGCGGUGAAAUUCGUAGAUAUUAGGAAGAACACCAGUGGCGAAGGCGGCUCACUGGAUCGGUACUGACGCUGAGGUGCGAAAGCGUGGGGAGCAAACAGG
rnacentral:rRNA from 1 species